GACGAACGCUGGCGGCGUGCUUAACACAUGCAAGUCGAACGGAAAGGCCCUGCUUUUGUGGGGUGCUCGAGUGGCGAACGGGUGAGUAACACGUGAGUAACCUGCCCUUGACUUUGGGAUAACUUCAGGAAACUGGGGCUAAUACCGGAUAGGAGCUCCUGCUGCAUGGUGGGGGUUGGAAAGUUUCGGCGGUUGGGGAUGGACUCGCGGCUUAUCAGCUUGUUGGUGGGGUAGUGGCUUACCAAGGGUUUGACGGGUAGCCGGCCUGAGAGGGUGACCGGCCACAUUGGGACUGAGAUACGGACCAGACUCGUACGGGAGGCAGCAGUGGGGAAUAUUGCACAGUGGGCGGAAGCCUGAUGCAGCAACGCCGCGUGCGGGAUGACGGCUUUCGGGUUGUAAACCGCUUUCGCCUGUGACGAAGAGUGAGUGACGGUAAUGGGUAAAGAAGCACCGGCUAACUACGUG
rnacentral:rRNA from 1 species